rnacentral:rRNA from 1 species
AUAAAGUGGCGCACGGGUGAGUAACACGUAAGUAAUCUACCUUCGAGUGGGGAAUAACGUCCGGAAACGGACGCUAAUACCGCAUAAUGCAGCGGCAUCGCAAGAUGACAGUUGUUAAAGGAGUAAUUCGCUUGAAGAGGAGCUUGCGGCAGAUUAGCUUGUUGGUAAGGUAACGGCUUACCAAGGCUACGAUCUGUAACCGGUCUAAGAGGACGGUCGGUCACACUGACACUGAAUAACGGGUCAGACUCCUACGGGAGGCAGCAGUCGGGAAUUUUGGGCAGUGGGGGAAACCCUGACCCAGCAACGCCGCGUGAAGGAUGAAGUAUUUCGGUAUGUAAACUUCGAAAGAAUAGGAAGAAUAAAUGACGGUACUAUUUAUAAGGUCCGGCUAACUACGUGCCAGCAGCCGCGGUAAUACGUAGGGACCAAGCGUUGUUCGGAUUUACUGGGCGUAAAGGGCGCGUAGGCGGCAUGACAAGUCACUUGUGAAAUCUCUGGGCUUAACCCAGAACGGCCAAGUGAUACUGUCGCGCUAGAGUGCAGAAGGGGCAAUCGGAAUUCUUGGUGUAGCGGUGAAAUGCGUAGAUAUCAAGAGGAACACCUGAGGUGAAGACGGGUUGCUGGGCUGACACUGACGCUGAGGCGCGAAAGCCAGGGGAGCAAACGGGAUUAGAUACCCCGGUAGUCCUGGCCCUAAACGAUGAAUACUUGGUGUCUGGAGU